rnacentral:rRNA from 1 species
AUGAACGCUAGCUACAGGCUUAACACAUGCAAGUCGAGGGGCAGCAUGAUUGAAGCUUGCUUCAAUCGAUGGCGACCGGCGCACGGGUGAGUAACACGUAUCCAACCUGCCGAUAACUCGGGGAUAGCCUUUCGAAAGAAAGAUUAAUACCCGAUAGCAUAGUAUUUCCGCAUGGUUUCACUAUUAAAGAACUUCGGUUAUCGAUGGGGAUGCGUUCCAUUAGAUAGUUGGCGGGGUAACGGCCCACCAAGUCAACGAUGGAUAGGGGUUCUGAGAGGAAGGUCCCCCACAUUGGAACUGAGACACGGUCCAAACUCCUACGGGAGGCAGCAGUGAGGAAUAUUGGUCAAUGGACGAGAGUCUGAACCAGCCAAGUAGCGUGAAGGAUGACUGCCCUAUGGGUUGUAAACUUCUUUUAUACGGGAAUAAAGUGGAGUAUGCAUACUCCUUUGUAUGUACCGUAUGAAUAAGGAUCGGCUAACUCCGUGCCAGCAGCCGCGGUAAUACGGAGGAUCCGAGCGUUAUCCGGAUUUAUUGGGUUUAAAGGGAGCGUAGGCGGGUGCUUAAGUCAGUUGUGAAAGUUUGCGGCUCAACCGUAAAAUUGCAGUUGAUACUGGGUACCUUGAGUGCAGCAUAGGUAGGCGGAAUUCGUGGUGUAGCGGUGAAAUGCUUAGAUAUCACGAAGAACUCCUAUUGCGAAGGCAGCUUACUGGACUGUAACUGACGCUGAUGCUCGAAAGUGUGGGUAUCAAACAGGAUUAGAUACCCUGGUAGUCCACACAGUAAACGAUGAAUACUCGCUGUUGGCGAUACACAGUCAGCGGCCAAGCGAAAGCAUUAAGUAUUCCACCUGGGGAGUACGCCGGCAACGGUGAAACUCAAAGGAAUUGACGGGGGCCCGCACAAGCGGUGGAGUAUGUGGUUUAAUUCGACGCAACGCGAAGAACCUUACCAGGCCUUGACAUCCCUUGCAAAAUCCUGGAGACAGGAGGGAGGUUAUCAAGGAGACAGGUGGUGCAUGGUUGUCGUCAGCUCGUGCCGUGAGGUGUCGGCUUAAGUGCCAUAACGAGCGCAACCCUUAUCUAUAGUUACUAUCAGGUCAUGCUGAGGACUCUAUGGAGACUGCCGUCGUAAGAUGUGAGGAAGGUGGGGAUGACGUCAAAUCAGCACGGCCCUUACGUCCGGGGCUACACACGUGUUACAAUGGGGGGUACAGAAGGCAGCUACCUGGCGACAGGAUGCUAAUCCCAAAAACCUCUCUCAGUUCGGAUUGGAGUCUGCAACCCGACUCCAUGAAGCUGGAUUCGCUAGUAAUCGCGCAUCAGCCACGGCGCGGUGAAUACGUUCCCGGGCCUUGUACACACCGCCCGUCAAGCCAUGAAAGCCGGGGGUACCUGAAGUACGUAACCGCAAGGAGCGUCCUAGGGUAAAACUGGUGAUUGGGGCU